AGUGAACGCUGGCGGUAGGCCUAACACAUGCAAGUCGAACGGCAGCACAGUAAGAGCUUGCUCUUACGGGUGGCGAGUGGCGGACGGGUGAGGAAUACAUCGGAAUCUACUUUUUCGUGGGGGAUAACGUAGGGAAACUUACGCUAAUACCGCAUACCACCUACGGUUGAAAGCAGGGGAUCUUCGGACCUUGCGCGAUUGAAUGAGCCGAUGUCGGAUUCGCUAGUUGGCGGGGUAAAGGCCCACCAAUGCGACGAUCCGUAGCUGGUCUGAGAGGAUGAUCGGCCACACUGGAAGUGAGACACGGUCCAGAGUCCUACGGGAGGAAGCAGUGGGGAAUAUUAGACAAUGGGGGGAAGCCUGAUCCAGCCAUACCGCGUGGGUGAAGAAGGCCUUCGGGUUGUAAAGCCCUUUUGUUGGGAAAGAAAAGCAGCAGGUUAAUACCCCGCUGUUCUGACGGUACCCAAAGAAUAAGCACCGGCUAACUUCGUG
rnacentral:rRNA from 1 species